AACCGUAGAGUUGCGGUGUCCGCAGCAACUCACAACGUUCCCCCUCGUUUCAUCUAGAAUUGCCUCUUAUUAAUGUUUCGAAAGGAAACUUUAUUGUAAAUAUAAAUAUUCUUCGUGAUAUUCGUUAUAAAAUAAGAAUAUUAUAAUGAUUUCAUUAUGAGAACGCUCUAUAUAGUGUAAUUAUCAUUAUAAAUUUUAAUAUACGUAUAUACAACCUCAACUCAUAUGGGACUACCCCCUGAAUUUAAGCAUAUUAAUUAGGGGAGGAUUUUCUUAGUAGCGGCGAGCAAUCAGUUCAGCACUAAGUCACUUUGUCUAUAUGGCAAACGUGAGAUGCAGUGUAUGGAGCGUCAAUAUUCUAGUAUGAGAAAUUAACGAUUUAAGUCCUUCUUAAAUGAGGCCAUUUACCCAUAGAGGGUGCCAGGCCCGUAUAACGUUAAUGGUUACGGACACGGACCAAGGAGUCUAACAUAUGUGAAAGUUAUUGGGAGAUAAACCUAAUAGCGUAAUUAACUUGACUAAUAAUGGGAUUAGUUUUUUAACUAUUUAUAGAUAAUUAACACAAUCCCGGGGUGUUCUAUAUAGUUAUGUAUUAUAAUAAUAUAUUUAUAAUAAUAAUAUAUUUAUAUUAUUUAUGCCUCUAACUGGAACGUACCUUGAGCAUAUAUGCUGUGACCCGAAAGAUGGUGAACUAUACUUGAUCAGGUUGAAGUCAGGGGAAACCCUGAUGGAAGACCGAAACAGUUCUGACUUGCAAAUCGAUUGUCAGAAUUGAGUAUAGGGGCGAAAGACCAAUCGAACCGAGGCCUUAGGGUCGAAACGAUCUUAACCUAUUCUCAAACUUUAAAUGGGUAAGAGUCUAACAUAACCUUAACUUUCUUGAUAUGAAGUUUAAGGUUAUGAUAUAAUGUGCCCAGUGGGCCACUUUUGGUAAGCAGAACUGGCGCUGUGGGACGAACCAAACGUAAUGUUACGGUGCCCAAAUUAACAACUCAUGCAGAAACCAUGAAAGGCGUUGGUUGCUUAAAACACCAGGACGGUGAUCAUGGAAGUCGAAAUCCGCUAAGGAGUGUGUAACAACUCACCUGCCGAAGCAACUAGCCCUUAAAAUGGAUGGCGCUUAAGUUGUAUACCUAUACAUUACCGCUAAAGUAGAUGAUUUAUAUUACUUGUGAUAUAAAUUUUGAAAUUUUAGUGAGUAGGAAGGUACAAUGGUAUGCGUAGAAGUGUUUGGCGUAAGCCUUCAUGGAGCUGCCAUUGGCACAGAUCUUGGUGGUAGUAGCAAAUAAUCGAAUGAGACCUUGGAGGACUGAAGUGGAGAAGGGUUUCGUGUGAACAGUGGUUGAUCACGAGUUAGUCGGUCCUAAGUUCAAGGCGAAAGCCGAAAUUUUUCAAGUAAAAUAUCAGUGAGUAAAAUUGUCAAAUCUUUUAUGAUUUUUAAAUACUUGAAUAAUUUUGAACGAAAGGGAAUACGGUUCCAAUUCCGUAACCUGUUGAGUAUCCGUUUGUUAUUAAAUUUGGGCCUCGUGCUCAUCCUGGCAACAGGAACGACCAUAAAGAAGCCGUCGAGAGAUAUCGGAAGAGUUUUCUUUUCUGUUUUAUAGCCGUACUACCAUGGAAGUCUUUCGCAGAGAGAUAUGGUAGAUGGGCUAGAAGAGCAUGACAUACACUGUUGUGUCGAUAUUUUCUCCUCGGACCUUGAAAAUUUAUCCGCAGCUGGUCUCCAAGGUGAAGAGUCUCUAGUCGAUAGAAUAAUGUAGGUAAGGGAAGUCGG
rnacentral:rRNA from 1 species